rnacentral:rRNA from 1 species
CCGUAGCCCAAGAGAUCGGGAUAACACCUGGAAACAGAUGCUAAUACCGGAUAACAACAGAUGAUGCCUAUCAACUGUUUAAAAGAUGGUUCUGCUAUCACUCUUGGAUGGACCUGUGGUGCAUUAGCUAGUUGGUAGGGUAACGGCCUACCAAGGCGAUGAUGCAUAGCCGAGUUGAGAGACUGAUCGGCCACAUUGGGACUGAGACACGGCCCAAACUCCUACGGGAGGCAGCAGGC